GAUGAACGCUGGCGGCGUGCUUAACACAUGCAAGUCGAACGGUGAAGCAGAGCUUGCUCUGUGGAUCAGUGGCGAACGGGUGAGUAACACGUGAGCAACCUGCCCCGGACUCUGGGAUAAGCGCUGGAAACGGCGUCUAAUACCGGAUACGAGAUUCCACCGCAUGGUGAGUUUCUGGAAAGAUUUUUUGGUCUGGGAUGGGCUCACGGCCUAUCAGCUUGUUGGUGAGGUAAUGGCUCACCAAGGCGUCGACGGGUAGCCGGCCUGAGAGGGUGACCGGCCACACUGGGACUGAGACACGGCCCAGACUCCUACGGGAGGCAGCAGUGGGGAAUAUUGCACAAUGGGCGGAAGCCUGAUGCAGCAACGCCGCGUGAGGGAUGACGGCCUUCGGGUUGUAAACCUCUUUUAGCAGGGAAGAAGCGAAAGUGACGGUACCUGCAGAAAAAGCGCCGGCUAACUACGUGCCAGCAGCCGCAGUAACAC
rnacentral:rRNA from 1 species